UGUUCAUCUUCUGGAGCAUUUUAAAGAGGAUUUUUCUCACGAUCGGUUCUGCUGUCGUAAACCCGAACCCUCCGGACCGGAUGUCAUGUAGAACACUGAACUGAACAAGCUCGUGUGGUGGUGAAGCUCCAGCUGUGUGGAGCAGUGAUGGAGGAGGGUCUCGUUACAGACUCUGAGUGUUUGCACUUGGAUCCUCUUUUCUUCAUGUUCUGAUGAACUUUUUUCACAUGUUCUUCAUCUGUUUCCAGUAUGAGUUGGUUGUGCUUUUAAUCUACCACUAUUUUACACCAAUAUAUUUUUUAUACCACUG